UACGAAGGGGGCUAGCGUUGUUCGGAAUUACUGGGCGUAAAGCGCACGUCGGCGGACUAUUAAGUCAGGGGUGAAAUCCCGCGGCCCAACCGUGGAACUGCCAUCGAUACUGGCGGACUUGAGUGCGUGAGGGGUUACCGGAACGAGCAGUGUAGCGGUGAAAUGCGUAGAUAUUGCUCGGAAGGCCAGAGGCGAAGGCGGGUAACUGGCACGCAACUGACACUGAGGCACGAAAGCGUGGGGAGCAAACAGG
rnacentral:rRNA from 1 species